rnacentral:tRNA from 1 species
UGAGUUGUAGUUUAAUUUGGAAUAACAUCAUUUUUUGGUGGUGAAAGAUAUCAGUUCGAAUCUGGUCAACUCAG